ACUCCUACGGGAGGCAGCAGUGGGAAUCUUGGACAAUGGGGGCAACCCUGAUCCAGCCAUGCCGCGUGAGUGAUGAAGGCCUUAGGGUCGUAAAGCUCUUUCGCCUGUGAAGAUAAUGACGGUAGCAGGUAAAGAAACCCCGGCUAACUCCGUGCCAGCAGCCGCGGUAAUACGGAGGGGUUAGCGUUGUUCGGAAUUACUGGGCGUACAGGGAGCGUAGCGGUUAGGUAAGCCCUUCGUGAAAUCUCCGGGCCUAACCCGGAAAGUGCGGGGGAGGUCUUAUGCUAGAGGAUGGGAGAGGAGCGCGGAAUUCCCGGUGUAGCGGUGAAAUGCGUAGAGAUCGGGAGGAAGGCCGGUGGCGAAGGCGGCGCUCUGGAACAUUUCUGACGCUGAGGCUCGAAAGCGUGGGGAGCAAACAGGAUUAGAUACCCUGGUAGGCUCUGC
rnacentral:rRNA from 1 species